rnacentral:rRNA from 1 species
UGCCAGCCGCCGCGGUAAUACGGAGGGUGCAAGCGUCAAUCGGAAUUACUGGGCGUAAAGCGCGCGUAGGCGGACUAUUAAGUCUGAUGUGAAAUCCCUCGGCUCAACCGAGGACCUGCAUUGGAUACUGGUAGUCUUGAGUCCCGGAGAGGAUAGCGGAAUUCCAAGUGUAGAGGUGAAAUUCGUAGAUAUUUGGAGGAACACCAGUGGCGAAGGCGGCUUUCUGGACAGUGACUGACGCUGAGGCGCGAAAGCGUGUGUAUCAAACAGGAUUAGAUG